CCUACGGGGGGCAGCAGUGGGGAAUAUUGCACAAUGGGGGAAACCCUGAUGCAGCGACGCCGCGUGAGUGAAGAAGUAUUUCGGUAUGUAAAGCUCUAUCAGCAGGGAAGAAAAAAGACGGUACCUGACUAAGAAGCCCCGGCUAACUACGUGCCAGCAGCCGCGGUAAUACGUAGGGGGCAAGCGUUAUCCGGAUUUACUGGGUGGAAAGGGAGCGUAGACGGCGCGGCAAGUCUGAAGUGAAAGGCAGGAGCUUAACCCCUGAACUGCUUUGGAAACUGCCAUGCUAGAGUGCUGGAGAGGUAAGUGGAAUUCCUAGUGUAGCGGUGAAAUGCGUAGAUAUUAGGAGGAACACCAGUGGCGAAGGCGGCUUACUGGACAGUAACUGACGUUGAGGCUCGAAAGCGUGGGGAGCAAACAGGAUUAGAUACCCCGGUAGUC
rnacentral:rRNA from 1 species